rnacentral:rRNA from 1 species
AUUGAACGCUGGCGGCAGGCCUAACACAUGCAAGUCGAGCGAGCGGCGGACGGGUGAGUAAUGUCUGGGAAACUGCCUGAUGGAGGGGGAUAACUACUGGAAACGGUAGCUAAUACCGCAUACCAUCAGAUGUGCCCAGAUGGGAGUAGCUAGUAGGGGGGGUAAUGGCUCACCUAGGCGACGAUCCCUAGCCGCACUGAGAGGAUGACCAGCCCCACUGGGACUGAGCCACGGUCCAGACUCCUACGGGAGGCAGCAGUGGGGAAUCUUGCACAAUGGGCGAAAGCCUGAUCCAGCCAUGCCGCGUGUGUGAAGAAGGCCUUCGGGUUGUAAAGCGCUUUCAGCGGGGAGGCGUUACCCGCAGAAGAAGCACCGGCUAACUCCGUGCCAGCAGCCGCGGUAAUAC